AGAGUUUGAUUAUGGCUCAGGAUGAACGCUGGCGGCGUGCUUAACACAUGCAAGUCGAACGGGGUUAUCAUUUUUGAAGCGAUUAGCUUGCUAAGAGUGGAAAAGUUGAUAACUUAGUGGCGGACGGGUGAGUAACGCGUGGGUAACCUGCCUUACACAGGGGGAUAACACUUAGAAAUAGGUGCUAAUACCGCAUAAGCGCACAGUCCCGCAUGGGACAGAGUGAAAAACAUUAGUGGUGUAAGAUGGACCCGCGUCUGAUUAGCUGGUUGGCGGGGUAACGGCCCACCAAGGCGACGAUCAGUAGCCGGCCUGAGAGGGUGGACGGCCACAUUGGGACUGAGACACGGCCCAAACUCCUACGGGAGGCAGCAGUGGGGGAUAUUGGACAAUGGGGGAAACCCUGAUCCAGCGACGCCGCGUGAGUGAAGAAGUAUUUCGGUAUGUAAAGCUCUAUCAGCACGGAAGAAAGAAAUGACAGUACCUGAGUAAAAAGCCCCGGCUAACUACGUGC
rnacentral:rRNA from 1 species